AUACCACUAAUACUUAUGUACGGUACAUUCCAUUUGCAACAUCUAUUCACUUUCCCAAGCCUUGCAUUUAGCGUAUCUACCAGCAGGUGGCGCACUGACAUCUGCUGUAUUGACGAAACCCGGAACUAUUGUGUGUUUGUGUUUCUGGCCGGAAGGUGCAGCAGCUGGACCCGGAGAGAGCAGACACAGGACAUGUCUUUGUCGCAAGAAAUGGAUGCCCGACUCUUGCAGCUGCCCUGGAGGUCGCUCCGCAUCGCAGACUGUAUUUUUAUGGGCAAGGUUUGCUUUACAGAGUCCAGCUAUGCCUUGCUUCUAUCUGAUCUUAGCAGCAUGUGGUGUGAGGAAGCAAAGGCCGACAUAAUACAGGAUCGCGCAAGGGAACUGAACAAACGUCUGAAAGCCCCAGUCUCUUCUUUCCUAUCAUACUUGUCCCAGAUUGUCUUUCCUGUGCUGAACUCCAAGGAUAACGGGCAGAAUAUAUUCUCUUGUCACAGGUCAGAGGCGGAGUUGUUGCUGCAAGUCAAGAGUCAGCUUUCUGGCCUUCCCUUUUACUGGAGCUUCCACUGCAAGGAGGCCACAGUCAGCACGGUCUGCCGCCACCUUGUGCGCCCUCUGAAGUCCAUGACGGAGGCUCUAGAAAGCCAGAAUCAGGAGUUGUGUCUGCUGCUGAAGAAGAAAGAUGCCGAGAUUCAGGAAUAUCAGGACAGUGGAGCUGUGCUAACUCGAGAUCGCUUGAAAACUGAAGUCUUUGAUGAGCUGAAAUUCCAGAAAUCCUUCUUGGCAGAGAAAGUCCAAGGUCUGUGUAUGUCUGGGAAGGCUCCAGGAUUCAGUGAGCAGCUCCAGCAACUGUAUGACGCUGUUAUAGCGCCUAAGGCACCAACACAUCCCAAGGAAGAAGGUAAGAAAUUAAGAUACGGGAAACAGUGCCAGCCAUCGCCCCAUGGCUGAAUCCAGUAGCAUUUCAUUUGAGAAAACAGUACCAACACAGGAGAGAACAGAGGGAGGAGCGGUGUCAGAACCUUCUCAGGUGCCUCAAUCUUCUGUUUCCUGCCUGACCCAUCGGCCCCCAGCUGGAGCUUCCAAACCCAAAAAGAAGGCAAAGGGACUGUUUAUGUAAUCUUGCAGCCAUUGAUCACACUGUCACAUAUAAUAAGUGUGCCUGUGUCAGUAUAGAUUUUAAUCUUUAACCUUUAUAUAACGCACAUUUGUCAUGAUAAUAAAUUAUUUUUGCAUUA